GAUGAACGCUGGCGGUAGGCCUAACACAUGCAAGUCGAACGGCAGCACAGUAAGAGCUUGCUCUUACGGGUGGGGAGUGGCGGACGGGUGAGGUAUACAUCGGAAUCUACUUUUUCGGGUGGGAUAAGGUAGGGGAACCUACGAUAAUACCGCAUACGACCUACGGGGGAAAGGAGGGGAUAGUCGGCCCUGGCGGGCUUGAAUGAGCCGAUGACGGGUUAGCUAGUUGGCGGGCUAGAGGCCCACCAAGGGGACGGUCCGUAGCUGGUCUGAGAGGAUGAUCAGCCACACUGGAACUGAGACACGGUCCAGACUCCUACGGGAGGCAGCAGUGGGAAUAUUGGACAAUGGGCGCAAGCCUGAUCCAGCCAUACCGCGUGGGUGAAGAAGGCCUUCGGGUUGUAAAGCCCUUUUGUUGGGAAAGAAAAGCAGCAGGUUAAUACCCCGCUGUUCUGACGGUACCCAAAGAAUAAGCACCGGCUAACUUCGU
rnacentral:rRNA from 1 species